rnacentral:rRNA from 1 species
AGAGUUUGAUCAUGGCUCAGGAUGAACGCUAGCUACAGGCUUAACACAUGCAAGUCGAGGGGCAGCAUAACGAAAGCUUGCUUUUGUUGAUGGCGACCGGCGCACGGGUGAGUAACGCGUAUCCAACCUUCCCUAUAGUAGAGAAUAGCCCGGCGAAAGUCGGAUUAAUGCUCUAUGUUCUUCUUUGAUGGCAUCUGAGGAGAAGCAAAGGUUCACCGCUAUAGGAUGGGGAUGCGUCUGAUUAGGUAGUCGGCGGGGUAACGGCCCACCGAGCCAACGAUCAGUAGGGGUUCUGAGAGGAAGGUCCCCCACAUUGGUACUGAGCCAGGAGCAAACUC